AUGCAGACCCCGCCACCUCGGGCUAGGAGGCCAGGCCUAAAAAGGAAUAAAGAGGCGAGGCUUCAAGAGAGGGAGGGGGUUAAAGACCCCAAUCCCUAGAAGAAUAAACGGAGAGAGAGGGAUGGAGAUUAAGGACCCAGGGGACAGAUGGGGAAGGGGUAGAGAUCCUAACCUGAGGAGGAGGGAGGGGAGGGAGGUGAAGUCAUCAGCCUCAGAGGAAAAGACAGGACCCCCUCCCUCCCCCCAGAUCCGUAGGAAGGAACGGCCCGGCCCGCUGCGGAGAGCUAUGUCAGUUCACACAAAGCAAUCAGGAAUACCUGCAGUUUUCAACCUGGAGAACUGAAAACAUUCCCCAGCAUGCUGCCAGCAUGAAGAAGCUCUGUAAUUACAGACGUGCAGGGGCUUGUGUUCCUGACCUCACUCAUCGAUGAAACACUUCCGUCCCCUUCACUUCCCAUGGUGUCUUUAUCGAGGAAGUGUAAAGCUGGGUCCUUCAGAAAAGUAAGUUCCAACUCCCUACUCUAUCAUGGGCAGACACUAGACCUCACCAUGAUUCAAAUCCAUUCAGUCAUGUAUUCACUCCUUCAUCCAACACACAUUUUAAUGGCCCCCUGCCAUGUGUCAGCAUAGGGCCAGGUGCUAGAGACACACCAAAUGUGUGUCCCAACCCCUACUGUUGAGGAGAUUAUAGGUUAGUAAGAAAGUUAAGGUAUAUGAUGUAAACAGUGACAGUAAAAAAAACAUAAAAAAGUAAUGUGUGAUAAGGAGAGUGCAAGUAAAAUCCUAGAUACGAGGAAGAUAAUUUGGGGAAGAGUAGUUGUUUCUUAAUAGGCAAUAUCGUGCAACGGCUGAGAGUACAGACUCUGGGACAACAGACCUGGGUUCAAAUCCUGUCUUUGCCACCUACUAACUAUGUAACUCCACAGAGAAAUGAAGAGAAUCUUGAGGUUCUUGUAAAGAUCAAGUGUCCAGCUGCUGUGGAUGUCGGCUGCUAUACUCAGGGAAAGUGGCAUAGAAAAUGGGUUUUCUGCAUGUGUGGAACAGGGUAAGGCAUUCUAGAAUGAUAGAGACACAGAAAGAAGGUGUGGGGCUUGUAUGAAAUUCCUUUGGGCUACAAAAUAGGCUGUGAAAAGGGAUGAAAAAGAGAUGAAAUUGGUAAACUUGGCUGGGGUUAAACUUUGGAACACUGGAUGCCAAAAUGAACAGAAGUAGAAUGACAUAGUGCAGAGUGCCUGCCUAGGCCCAACUGGUAGUCCUCCUCAUCUUUAGAGCCAUGUUCAAUUGAGGUCAAACUUCAGGGUAUCCAAAGAGGGGAGCCAGCCCUUGGGUCUUGGUGCAUCAGCCUGUCUCCUGGAUCCUGCCCACUUAGAAAAACCAGUUCCUGCCCCUCUGGCAGACAGCCCUGGAAAUAGGGCCAAGGGAGAGCCCUCAUUUUCUUUUCCAAGGACAAGUAGACAUGGGACUCCCUGCCAAUCUGAAGCCUGGUUUUGGGGCACAAAGCCUAGGAGACGCCCCUGGAAAGGUGGCAGAUAGGAAGGGAGGUGGGAAUGGAGGGUGGAUUCAGCCAGGAGAGGCUGAGCAUGCUCAUAAUCAUGAUCAUGAGCUUCUGUUUUGCUCUGGGGUUAUACAGAGCCCCGUCAAUACCAUGUUUGAAUAGGGCAGACUGAGAGCAAAUAUUUCAUCAAACACAAAACAAGCUAAGGAAAGCCUGCAAAAGGGAACAGCUUCCCAGAGAAGGAUUACUAGCUCAGCACCAUUCCCAACCCUAGGUCGAGAGGGCCAGACAGGAAGGCCACCUAGUAAAGCACUCAGUGUCCUUACCUGGAGCAUCAGGAGGCCUCUAUUCUUGUCUAGCUCAUGCGUCUCUCUCUUUGUGUGUCUUUGGGGAAAUCACUUUCCCUUGGCUUCUGUUCCUUCUCAGUAAAACAAGAGUUUUGCUGGAAGGAUCUCAGAGGUCAUUAACAGCUCACAACCAGGGUGAGCCCGAGGUCCCUGACGUCUGUACCCAAAUUAAGCAAUGCCCUGCUGUUAAGAUUUAGGGUGCUCAAGUGUGUCCUCAAUAUUGGAAGGAACCCAGAACAUACAGACAUAAGAAAAGAAAGAGAAAACUAGGGGGGCUGUCUGGAGUCCCCACCCCUCAGUGAGCUCAGGGGUGAGGGUUACAGAAGGGGUAGUGAGUGGAGGAAGAGCUGGGGCGGGGGGGGGGGGGGGCAGCUUAUCUAAGAACCUGACAUCUCCAGGCAAAGGAAGCUAACUGGUAAGAGGAUUCUUCUCCCAACUCCAGCCCAGGAUCCUGUGGAAAAGCUGCAUUAUAAUCGAUAGCCUCAUAAAUAAAUAAAUAGUCAACGCAUCCUGUCUCCAGUUCAGGGCUUCUUUAGGAAAAUCGAACCCCGACCCACUUCUGCUUGCUCAUUCUGGAUUUCUAUGGAGGCUUCCAGUGGGAAGAAACUCUUAAAAGUCAUUUUGGGCAUUCCUCUGCUUCAGGGCUGGCCUGCCAUCAGUCAUGACCUGAAGGAAAGAAUUAGGAGGUAAAUCCAUAGCUAAGAUACCCACGAUACUUACACACACACAUAACAAAAUGGUGCUGUUUUAAGAUGUCUACAUUGCAUGCAGUUCCUUUCCCCCAGCACUGAUAAUUGGG
rnacentral:lncRNA from 1 species